rnacentral:rRNA from 1 species
GGGAAGUUGCGGGUGCUAUACAUGCAAGUCGAGCGGACAGAUGGGAGCUUGCUCCCUGAAGUCAGCGGCGGACGGGUGAGUAACACGUGGGCAACCUGCCUGUAAGACUGGGAUAACUCCGGGAAACCGGGGCUAAUACCGGAUAAUUCUUUCCCUCACAUGAGGGAAAGCUGAAAGAUGGUUUCGGCUAUCACUUACAGAUGGGCCCGCGGCGCAUUAGCUAGUUGGUGAGGUAACGGCUCACCAAGGCAACGAUGCGUAGCCGACCUGAGAGGGUGAUCGGCCACACUGGGACUGAGACACGGCCCAGACUCCUACGGGAGGCAGCAGUAGGGAAUCUUCCGCAAUGGACGAAAGUCUGACGGAGCAACGCCGCGUGAGUGAUGAAGGUUUUCGGAUCGUAAAACUCUGUUGUUAGGGAAGAACAAGUACCGGAGUAACUGCCGGUACCUUGACGGUACCUAACCAGAAAGCCACGGCUAACUACGUGCCAGCAGCCGCGGUAAU